AAAAUCUUGGGCCCAAUUGAAAAUCUUUAUCCUCGGGCCGUUUCAUCACCGAUAUGUGCACGGUCGUUGGUUACACGUUGGCCGAGGCGUUUAAAGGCCGCGGAAGCGACGGCGAAACGAUCGAACGGCGGCGGAGAUCGGAAAUAGUCCGCGUCUGGGCCAUCGAUCACUUCCGUCCCGAUGCCUCGGGCCACGAGCUACGCGUUAUCGACAGUCUAUGAUCGCGAGAUCGUGUUACAAGAUCGAUCGAACCGCACAAUUUUCUCAUUAUCGAGAAAGCGAGGAUAACCGUACCGAUCUCCCCCUCCGACGCGCUGAAACGAUCGAUACAAUUUUUAUUUUCCCUUUCCUCUGCUUUUCCCCUCCCAUCCAUCCGCUUCCCUAUGGAGGAAUGUAGAACCGAUUUUAUUUCUUUUUUCUUGGUUCGAUGAGAAAAGAAAAUUAAUAGAAGUUAAUAUUAAUUAUAAAGUAUCGUUUUUUAACUCUUUCCUCCAGUGUUAUGGGACGGUAUAUAGAUUCGAUGCAAUUUUAUUUUCUCCCUUUCUAUCGAUUUCCCUUCGUUAUACCGUCAAACUAUGGAGGAAGAAAAGUUAGUGGAAGUUGAUAUUGCAAAGUAUCGUUUCUUUUUUUUUUUAAUGUUAAUGGUCGAAGUCGUUUCACGUUGAUCGUCCAAGAAUAUACAACAACUGCAGUAUACGGAUUCUUUCUUUUAAUUUCGCGGACAAACUUCUCUCCAGAUGUUUCUCUCUCAACAUGUAUCUGAAACGAUCGACAAGAUCGUUUUAUUUCCUCUUUCUCUUCCCCCACCAACGCCAAUUUCGCUCUACGAAACACGCCUUUCGUUUCAACUUGGUCCACAAACUUCGUCCUCUCAACACGUUUCAAACGAUCGAUUCAAUUUUAUUAUCCCACUAAUGCCCGACUUCGUUCCACGAAACACGCCUUUCGUUUCAAUUUCAUCCACGAGUCUUUCUCCCCCCUCUCUCCAUAGAUCUUCUUCUCUCAACAACGUCGAAACGAUCGAUAUAAUUUUACCUUCUCUCCUUCUAUCGACCAACAUAGCAAUUUCGCCCCAACGAAACACGUAUUUCGUUUCAAUUUCGUCCACCAACUUCUUCGCAGAUCUUCCUCCUUCGAACAAGUUGGGAACACGAUCGUUGAUACAUAUUUUGUCUCUUCUUUCUCUCUCUCCCUCUCUCCCUCCCCCCUCGAUUUCCACCUCUACACGCCUUUCGUUUCAAUCUCUCGAGCGCAAUACCUUCUUUUCUCCAGUUUUGCAGCCAACUUCUUGCGACCGUAUACGUGACUGCGAAUUGUAAACAGUCGCUACACACAGCGGAUCGAUCCGCUUUUUUUCUCUCUCUUUCCUUUUCCUCCCCGGCUUUGUAUUUCGUAUCGAUCGAGCACCAUGGAUCGGUCGUGCGUUCCUUUCUAAACUUUCUCCCGCGAUCCUCGAACGCUUACGUCCAACCGAAUUUUUCAGCCCCGUCCUCGGAUCGAUAAGAGAGGACACCACCCGAUUUCUGCGCUGCUUUAUACUCGACUCUGUUGGAGCGUCGAGCGAAGGCCGGCCUCCUCAGCCGAGAGUCCUUCGUCGAGAUUUAUCCGGGCUUAUCAUUUAUGCGAGUAUCAAUUUCCACGCUGUUCUCUUAUCUCCACGGAAGAUUCCUCUUUUCCGCGAGUUUGUCGGUCGAUUGGGUUUAAGAGAGAAAUCGGUGUCCUCGAAAUAGAUGGAGAUAUCGUUGGUUGUCGAGCUACCGCUUCGCUUGUGCAAAUUGAAAGUUAAUAACUCUUUUCGGUUCGUUCAAUUUUACUUACUUUUUUACAUUUUUAACCUCGCUCGAUCCUCGAUUGAAUUGAGACGAAGCCGGAAGGAGAGAUCUUUCUCAACAUCUCGAUAGAUGCUUCGAAUUUAUCGCUUCAUCUUAAUCAAUCAAAUAUUAAAUCGCGUCUAAUUAAUUAAUGUCUACCAAGUAAAUGGUAGCAAGGGAUUAGGAAAUCGACGUAUUUCUAAUUUUUUCCUUUUUUCUCUUUAUUCGAAACUACACGUUUGAAUUAUCACGUGGAGAAGUUUUGGCGUUUUUUUCGAGUCGAGUUUUCAUUCAGUGAACCGAGCGAACGGUUGUUUGGAAACAAUUUCCUGAUCGAGCCGUCAUCACGAGGGAAGAGUUAUCGCGCAGCUCGAAUCGAUUGGAAGCGCGUAUAUUGUUAUUAUAGUACACGCUUCGAGAUUCGAUCGGCGGGUUUAUUCGAUGCGUGAAGAGCGAGUUUAAACGAUCGAUUAUCGAAUCGAGGGGACGAGAUUGUCGAGAAAGAGUACGAGUAGAAAGCGGUUUCAUGGACGGCCGUGUUUGGCCUCGAUCAACACACUCUCCCUUGAUUUCCUAUGACAGCUGUGACUGCUCUUCCGCGACUGCUCUCUCUCUCUCUCUCUCUUCCCGCGAAUAAUGGAGAGAGAUUCCUCUUCCGGUUCGGAUGAUGCUGCUCGAGGAGUUCGCCUCGAAGAACACGCUUUUCAGCAAGGAAGGACGAGAAGGGGGAGUAUAAUCUUUAUUAUGAUUGUGGAAAAGUGGAUACCUUGAUCCCGGUGUCGUUUUCAUUAUGAUGGAUGACUCGUCAUUUAUUGUUUCUAUCUUAUGCAACGCUUGGGAGUUGUGUAAAUCUACGAAUGGAGUCCAAAGGAAGGUUUUUUUCUUUUUCUUCUUCUUAUUUUACUCCACGUGUACGAGAAGAAUGAUGUAUGCAAGAAGUUUCAAACAUCUGUUAGUUAGGAGAAAAUGAUAUAUCGAAGAAUACGGAAAGGAUAAUAGAUAAUGUUCCGCCGCUAUUUAUUAUCGCCUUGCUUAAUAAUACUAACAUUUACAAUAACGAUAAAGCAGAAUGUAAUAAAGAUACGCGGGAUCGAAUUAAGGAAAUGUGUUUGUUCCAUUCCACGUGGAAGAAUAAAAAAUUUACAACAAAUUUAAUUUUGCUUGAACGAGAAGAAAGGAGGGAGAACGAACGAGUAGAGGGGAGGAGCGAGAGGGGAACAAUGGAGACAAAGGGAGUAGAGAGAGAGAGAGAGUUACAAAAUAGAUAAGAAUAAAUUUACAUAACCACGCGAAAAAAAUCGCCCCGAGCGCGAUUCGAAUUUAUCUCUUACGUCACCAAACGGCCGUAUAUCAUCCCGAAACGCAAAGAAAGAGAGAGAGAGAAAGAUAUUAAAUUCCAACGAUUUAGAGCCCUAUCCAUUCCGUAAAUUACUCUCAUUAAAUCCCAGCUAUCGUUUAGCGAAAAGGAUGCCUGUGUACACACGUAUAUGAUAUAAUAGCUCUCCGUCCCCUCGAUUUAUCUCGAAUUCAGACGUCGUUUCGUUCUAAUCGAAUCUGGUGUAAGAGAAAAAAAAAAAGAAAGAAAAAACGCCUCCAAUUAUUUCUCCAAACUGGCGCCUUCGAACCGCCAUGGAAUGGAAAGGAAAUCGCCGAUUUCGAUCAAAUUCAAAUACGAGAGAUUUUUCAAUUCUCGAAAAGAACGAUCACUCGUCUCGUAUCGAGGGAGGAACGAAGGAAAGAUGAGAAAUCUUUUUUUUUUUAUUUCACCGUCAUCGUUAUCGAUCAUACUGUAUUCUUUUCGAGAAACUAACUAACUAACUAACUAACUAACUCUCGUAUAAAUUUCAUUCGAAAUGUGUGCGCGUGGUUUUGUAUACGUUGCCUUGUUAGGCACGGGAUCGUUAGAAGGGCGGGAUAAACGAGCGGCGAGACGAGACGAGACAAGAAGAACCCGGAAGCCUGGGAAUCGGCCUCGAGUCGUAUUGUCGUAUCUGACCGGUUGGAAACUAUCGUCGAAAUUACAUCGAGCGAGCCUGUAAAUCUCGUUCGUUUCACCGCGAGACGUCGGAGAAAGUGAAUAAUUAGAAGGCGCCUUAAGGCUUUAAAGGCCUUUAAAGAGUUAAACGACGAAACGGUGCGUAACAGGCCGCCAGUCCUCUCUUCGGCAUCAACGAGUCGCUGCACGACUCCUUAAUUAAGUGGAUCUUGUUUAUUCACGUUAAUUCCGUCACGUAGAUUUUUCACGCAUCCCCUCCCCCUCCUUUAUCCCUUAAAAGGAUGAAUAAUAUCGAUUGAAAUAUCGAACGGUUUAUCGUCGAUUCAACAACAUUUUUCGAAAUUUCCCAGGGAGUGGUAAAUUAGGAAUUCGGUGGAAUUUCGGGGGUUCAGGAUUCUUCGAAGUUUCGACCGACUUGAGAAAACACGUUGCGCGUAACGUGCGCUGUCGUAAUCGAGCAAACGAAUAUUGCAAAUACGGCCUCGUCGUAAUAAGAUAAGAGAUUUCAUCGAUAAGGUAAUCGUAAUAUUUUCCAUCGUAUUACGAUUAAAAAGAGUCACGAUUUCUCGAUCUUUCAAAAUCGUUUUCGAGGCUGAAAACGUUCUCUUCCGUGUUGUCUUUAUAUAUAUAUAUAUGUUACUCGAAUCGUGCAUAUAUAGGGUGUUUAAUUAAAAAUUAAGCUUGAAAAUUUGUCGAUUUUUACUUUUUCAAAAAAGAAGAAGAAGAAGAAAAAAAGAAUAUUCAAUUUGCUUUCGUACGUAGAAUAACUUCCUGUUAAUUAUCUAUUCAUGAUAUAUUGUAUAGAAGAUAGUAAAAACGUAUGCAAUACUCGACAAAUUUUUCAAACUCGAAAACAAGGUUUUAAAUGAGAAAAUUAUACAUAUUUUUUUACAUAUACGGAAUAACAUCCACUCGUGACGUCUACGCGAUAAACAUCUAAAUUUAAUCUCGCCGAAGACAAGGUCUUCGAUGAAAGAAUCCUAUUGUACGUAUCAACUUAUUUUUCCACAUUUAAAUUCUACUCCUCCACGACUCUUCCAACUGUUCGAUAUAAAUCUAAAAAAACAUCCCCCUCCUUCUCGCCUCCUUCCUAUCUACCCUACCUGUCACUACUUGUGGACCACCUUGUGCACGCGAAAGGAACGACCGUCGUUUACCAACGAUUAGUUGCAUAACAAUAAUGACACAGCAUGUGCGUCGAAACGAGAGGUAGCUGCUAAAUCAGCAUGUCGACGACGUUGCGUAUCGUAUCGAUACCCCCUCCCCGCGAUGUUUGUCAACCAACCGACUCUUCCCCUCUUACCCGUUCCGCCAAUCGUUAAAUAACGAGCGUAAUCGAGGAUAUGGUGGUGGUGCUCCUGUUUUCUUUUUGGGAACACCAAGUUGCGCUACCAAGUGUACCGCUGCCGUCGUUUUAUUACACAAUGGUAUGUAUGCACACGCGGCGAGGUGCGGCGCGGUUUAUUGCGUAACCGACAUAUCUCAUUGUUAGCCUCGAGAGUCUUUUGUAGCCGAGGAAACGCACGGAGUUGUUAUCAGGUGAAGAAAGAAAACGAAACGCUUUCCUUUUGUCGGCUGACCUCAUCCCACGCGAGCUGUUACACACGCGUUAUACGCGCGUACAUUUAUACUGCCAUAACUGAAUUUAUUGCUUAUCAAACGCGCACCGAUCUCUCUCUCCUCCGUUCAAUAACCGCUCGUUUGCCCUUUGAUCACGCGCCGAUUGUUCUACGCAGCCGUUUGGAAGCUUGAAAUACGACCGAUCGACACUUUUUUUUUUCUUUGAAAAUUCAGAAAUUUCAUGAUUCUGCUCCAUUCUCGUCUCGGAAUUUUUUCUUUCUUUCUUUCUUUCUUUUUCACGUGCGAUGUGAAAUGAGGGGAGAGGGGGUUGCAACUCGAACUUUGCGCUCGUAUACGUGUAAGUAAAGCAAAGUUAUUGAAAUUUAAUCCUGACCUCGAUCGAAGGAAAAAAAAAAUUGCAUUUUGCUGAAUGCGUGGAAAAAGAGGGUCGAAAGUCGAAGUUGUUUAAACGCGAUUUCGAUACGAUUCGAGAUUGAUCGGGAGAUGUAUUACGCGAAUAAUAUUCGAGAUUAAAAGUGAAAGAAUUAUCACUUGCGUCGCGUGGGAUUACGAACGGGAUUACGCUUGAUCUGGAUGCAGUUGGACUUACGGCAAUUGGUAUUUAGGUCGCGUUGGGUCUGACCCGUGCCGUCUUUAACUACUUAAAAUUUACAUUAUGAUUAAUUCUUUGCCGAGGCACGUUUGACGUUUUGCCUCGGCUGAUGCAUAUUCAACAUCUUUCUUCCCAGGCUUAUCGGUGUUCGAAAAAAACGGAAAAAGAAAGAGAAAAAUUUAGCACGUGACUCAUACUCGUAGAUACGAAUUUUACAUCGCGAACCGCUCUCGUGCCUACGCGUACAAUGCUAUUCAAUUUAAUUCCAAGAAUAAAUGCACGAAUAAAAAUUGGAGAAAUCUUCGAUUCGAACGCUCGUUCUCCAAAACGACCCGAUUAGAUCCCCGCAGUAACGCGGGACGAGCAAAGUCGGAUCUAAAUCAAGCCUAGAACCGUUUCGGUUCAGGCUAUUUCCAAUCUGGGUUAGUCGCUUGCGACUCUCGUUAAACUCACUCGUCGAAUCCUUCCUUUCCUCCAUUGUUGUGUUUCGUUUCAUUCGUGCGUCCACUGUUCGAAAAUGAUCCAUGGGCCGGGAUCAAACCCAUCCUCCUCUUUUAAUUUUAAUCAGCCAAUUUUAAUUUGAUUCGUUUCUAUGUGCCUCUGAAUCGACAACUCGCCCGCAAAAGAUAUUUUCCCAGAGAAGGUUUUUGCGCGAGAAGAAAUUGGCACACUCUGAUGAACCUGCGAUGCGCGGAAAAAAAAAAAAAAGAAAAGAAAAAAGAAAGAAAAAAAGAAAAAAAUCGAGGCCGAGCGUAAAAUUCCUCGAGUAACGUUAAUUUGCAUCAUAAUGGACAACCGCCUCGUGUCUCCUUUAAGAUCGUAACCGGUAUUUCUCUCUCUCUCUCUUAUUCCUAUUCUUCUUCCGAUCGGUUCGUCUCCUUUCGAUCUUUAGAUUUUUUCCCCUUCUUUCUCUCUUUUUCUUCUCCUUUUUUUCCCCUCUUUUUCGAGGAAACGACGACAAGUGGCACGUCCCUAAUGGUACGCUUUCACUGGCUGAAAACUGGGAGCCACAAUGAAGGCACGACGCGCGGCUACGUGGAUAAUCAUAUUAAUUUGUAGAAAAUCCGGAGCAUCGGUUAUCCGUGUCGUGGAAGUUUCGUUUUCUUUUUUUCCCAAGCCACUGAUUCGAGGACGUUGUCUCGUUCGACAGCUAGGUUAACGAUCGGUUUCUGCCUCGUUAAUUUUAAUACAAGUUCGUCGAGACAUUGUACGCAGUUAAUAUUUCGGCUUUGGUGUAGGAGGAACGACGAAGGAAUAAUUCGUAUCGGAAUAAUUCAUCGAUUAUAUUCUCAUUUUAACUCUUAACGCGAUAAAGAUAUUCGUUCGUGAUAAAGAAAUAAAACAACAAAUUCUGCCGUAUUAUUUUUCUUGGCGAUUUUUUCACGAUUCUGUCGCGCGGUUCUUGAUCACACGCUCUUCCAAAUUACAUAAUCAGAUAUCAUGUGUACGUACGCGUAUGUAAAGAAUCACAGUGAAAUUGCAAUGAUCUCUGUAUCGUUCUCGCGUUGCGAAAAAUAACGCAUAAUUAUUUUUUUUUUCCUUUUAACGCAAUUUCUGCGGCUCUUUUACGUAACCGACACCUCUAAUGCAAUGUAAAUACGAUACAUUUAGAUUCCAGAGAUAAAUACGCGAUGAGGUAAAAAAAUGUAGCCUCUCCCGUAGCUUCACGCCUCGUUUAAUUUAAAGAAGCAUCGAGCGCUAAUUAAUACGAUCGAUGGAUAAAAUUUUCACGCCAUUACUUUAUCAUCGAAACCUCCGUAUCUCGUUAAUCGAUUCGUUGUUUAUCCAAUCAAUCUUUUUCUUAUUCACGCAGGACUGAUUCGCGCUAAGAAAUGUGCUUGUUCGAUCCUCGGGAACGUUUGUUCCUCGUUUACCUCGAAAAUUUCACGAGAGAGAGAGAGAGAUUUAAAAUUACGAAUAAUCCACGAACGAUGCUGUAAAGAAAAAGAAACGACUGUCAUAAACGUUACUACGCUCUUUCAUACAGCCUUUUUCCAUCCCGCCCAAAAUUGCAAGCAUAAUCCCCCUCCCCGAUUCUCAAAGGAAUCUCCACCAUGGCGAAAUCGCUCGCAUCACGUGAAAUCGUCCCGUGAUUCCAGGGAGAUUAUUCCAAUACCGUGAAGAACGGAUCAUUGGGCCGUGGCUCUCCCUCCCCAACCUCCGCUAUCGACUUUACGAGAUUUUAAUUGAACAAUAUCGAAUGAAGACAAGUCAUCGAAGGGCCUUUUCGCGAGUUCUUGUUAAACAUUCCUCCGUUGGAUGGAACUCGUGCACGUUUGUUGCUCGCGCGAGGAUUUAACGAGCGUAUUCCUGCCAUAACGAGCAAACGUUGGGUUCACGAGCGCGGGACAUCGUUGUACAGUCCGUAAUAUAAAGAUCGUGGAUGGAUGAUUCCGGAUGAACAGGAUUGAUUUCGGAGGAAACUCGGAUUUUUAUUCUUCACCGUGCGUGUUGUUGGCCAAUUAACGGACGUUAAAAACGGACGACGUGUAUCGUGUACAAGAGAGGAUUAAUAUUUUAAUAAUUUUAACAAUGAGAGGAUCAACAGACUCUUAUACAUUAUCGCGAGUCUUUCUAACGAGGAGAGGGAAAAGGGAAGGGAGAUUCGUGGGAAAAUAGGAUCCUCGAAACUUUUUUCCCCAAAAGGGAACGAUCAACUCGGGCGCACGAUGUUAUAGCGCCGACUGUACCGUGCGGCUUAAGGCCCACAUGCAGCAAAAUGCAUUUGCUUAUGGCUGGCUCACGUACGCCCGUAUAAAACGGCGCAUUAUUCGCGAGUUAUGCCCCGUACGCACGUCGCUGCUUCUUUCCUCCCUUCCUCCUUUCCUUUUCCUUUCCUUUCUUCUUUCUCUCAUCCUCCUCUCCACCCUUUGUGGACUACCUCUCAAAGCCCGAACGCGGCCCUUGCUGCACGCGUCGUCCCUCUACUCCUCCCUUUAUUCUUUUUUUAUAUCUUCGCGUUCCUCGUCGUCGCCUCGGCGCCCGCCAGGCAACGUGCGACACGUGCAAAUGCGCCUCAACGCCACGGCUCCACCUACGCGCUCCACCUAAUCGAUGCGUUCAUUGUUCGCACGGCGGUGGGCUUGUUUGCUUUGACGAAAGACCGAUUAGUCGGAGGAGCGAGUCGGUGGAAAUUACGCCCGUUUGGAAUCUCGCGUUUGCGACACGCGAGAAAGGAAUCGAACGGGAAUUGAAAUUUUUUUAUUCGAGAGAGAGGGAGAUUCUCGGGACGAGUAUGCUCGUUUGGAUGAGAGAUCGAAGGAGGAAGGGUCUGUGGUGGAAAUUAUGCCUGUUUGGAAUUCCGAGUUUGCGACAUCGCGGGAGGGGAUGUCGCGAGAAAGCAAUCGAACGAAGCUUGAAUGCCGAAUGUAAUAAAUAUCGAUGAAGUUUCCUUUUUUUUUUUUUUUCGAAAGGAGAGAAAAAUUCUCUAAUCGUUAUUUGUUCCAUUAUGUAAGCUCGAUCGAGCGUCGUUCGGUUGAAAAUGGUCGAUUAAUCGAAGGAAGAGUCGUAAGAGAUUUAUGUUUCCUUGGAAUUCAUUGCGUUUGCGACACUCGAGGGGAUCGCGAGGAAAGGAUUUCUCGUUUACAAAGUAUCGAACCGACGUAUUCGACGUGUGAAGUUUUUCCCUUUGGACGGGAGAAAGCUAAUCUAAUCUUUGUUGCAUUGUUUAUCUUUCGAUCGUUUAUCGUGUUUAUCGUGGAAAUCUUGGAGGAUUUAUAGCAACGAAUAAAAUUCCUCCUCUAUUUUCUCCACCACUGAUCUUGGAAUCGGAAUUUUCUCUCAACGUAUCCAAGGGAAAAUCUAAAUCCCGUUUCCAAUCUAAAUUCCUCUCUUUUAUAUCUCCAUUUGACUCAUCUAUUCGAUGACGAUGACUAUUCAUCCAUUCGAUUUCGCUUUCGAUUUCGUAGGAAUACGAAGAGAAUACUGGUUCCUCGCCUUCCUUCUUCCUAGAGAAACUAGUAAACUCUUCGAGUUUGACGAAUGGUAACGUGUCAAGAAACGAAAAUUGCAAGGUUGGCAAGAAUCGAAAUUCGUGACCGCGAGAGCGAAGCGAAUGGUUUGUGGUUCAAAAGUCGGGUGGAAUUUCGAGUGGCAGAAAUUGGAGGAAGGCGUUGCUAGGGUCAAACGAGCGAAACAAAGGUGGUGCUCGUGCCAAGCUAAUUAUCGAUAAGACGAUCAAUCUUUGCCGCACGCCAAUCUCUGGCCCACGAGAGAAAGCAGAUCCAAUUGGGCCUGGUUUGUACUUAUCCAGUCGUUGUUUCUCAGGUGUGACCGUUUUUUCGUGAAAAUUUAGAUGUUGCUUGUAACGCGAAACUAUUGCCACUAUUUUUUUAAAAAAGUUUAGAUUUUUCGAAUUUUCAAUUUGUCGAAUUUCGUUCAAACGAUUAUUCGAUUAUUAAUUUGUGUAGAAAAAAAAUUUUUCUCGUUGAAUGCAUGCCUCGCAAGCUAUUCAAUUUGACACGUGACUCACUCUGUACACGUGAAACUAUAUCGAACGUAUUAAUGUAUCGAUGUAAUGCAUUUUUGAUAAAGAAAAAAUUGCCAACUACUUUUUAUCUGUACGAAUAAUAUUUAUAACAAUUUUAAAAUUAAUGGAUAUCAUAAAGGGGGCAUGAUUCAAGGAAUUAUUCUUGUCUACCUUUUUAGGCAGUAGAUUUCAUACGAGUUUCAUGGAAAUCGAGAUAAUCGGCGAGGACUUCGGUUCAUUGUCUCCUCGUAACUCGAUAUUUUCACGUCCGAUCGUGGGGCAUGGAGUGCGCAGGGUUUCAGGUAAACGACUGCCACGAGCGGUGCACGACAUUGUUUUAUCCAAUCAGCGAAGAGAGUUUUAGCUUUGCGUACCAUUUUGUAUCGAUAUUUCCACUAGAACGGAACCUCUAUAUAUUCCUAAUAUUACGCUCAAAAUCGAGGCAUCGAUUUUAAAAUUUGGCGAUUCCUCCUCUUCAAAAAAUGGCCGCCUCAAUGCUCAAUCGACGCGUAUAUAAUUUGAAAAAAAGAAAAGACGAGUUGAAAAUUAUUUUUAACGAGAUCAAAAUAUUCAUUUCAAUUUAUAAAUUGAAUUUCAAAAUCCUUCUCCUCUUCCCUAUAUAUAUAUAUAUCUAAUCUUUUAACUAUACUCCAUUAUGGCAGCGGCGCAAAAAACUAAAUUUAGACCGAUCCACUUUUCUUCCAACGUAUUAAAAUCGAACGAUAAUAGGUUCGUAAUGGUUGGUCGGAUGGAAACAUAAACCGACUUGAUUUACGAACCAUACAACGGAGAAACUCUCGCGUUCCAUUGUCUGAAAAAAGCGCGGGGAGGAGGGGGAGAAGGGGGAGGAGGAGGAGGAGAAGCGCGAAAGAAAUUGAACUAUAAUCGGGGAGAUUUAUAUCUAUUAUAUCGUGCAGCCUGGUACUACCAUACAAACAUCAUCCGAUAAUUACAAAAUAUCGGAAUAAUUCUCGCCGAUAAUUGUUCCCUCGAACCAUGUUUUACGAUUGGCGCGAUUUUACGGGUACGUUGAAAUGGAUCGAUACGAUUAUAUAUAUAUAUAUAUGGGUAUCACUUUAAUACGUGCCAAACGAUCCACUUCUCGUUCUUGUACGGCGAGCAUAUAAUCGCGAUUGAUCCCGAUUUUUCCUUUUUUUUUCGAUUCUCUCCUAUCGAAUAAAUUUUAAAACGCGACGUUGAUCGUUUCGAAUAUUCGUAACGAAUAUUAUACGAAGUAUUGCGAAAUGAUAUAUCUUACUUGCCUUUUGCCUUGCCAAAAUUUCGAUUUCACGAUGAUGAAACGCCUUUUUCCUAAAUAUAUAUUCGUCGCGGCGAAACGAAAGGCAAGAGUCACGAUUAUCUAUCGGACAAUGAUCCCGGGAAAGUGAAAAUGCCGAGCUUGGGCCCUUGCUCGAGCCAAUUACGGGGACUUUAUUCAUCUGCACGGCUUCGUCAUGCCACGGCUCGUGGACGAUGGGAUUACUCGAAUCCACUGCCAUUGACGAUCCCUUCUUCCCCUCCUUUUCGACCGUAUUAUUUCCGCCGGGAGAGUGGAGAAUAUUUCGUUGUGCAAGUUUUAAUUAAUCAAGGAAGAACCGUUUGGAUUAGAAGGAGGGAGUCGUAUACCACUGAUCGAUUGUUCUUUGUUUAAUUGAUCGAAAGUGUAUCUUACAUGCGAAUUUUUCAAUCUCGUUCGAUUCAACGGCCUCCUCGUAUAACAUGUAUUCGCAUAUCGCGUUGCAAAAAUUUGAGAACGAGCGUAGAAGUGGUGUAUAAGAAACAAUAUAGCGAGUCUUCGAUAAAUAAUUCGAGAAAUUAUUUUAGAAAUCGUCAUAAAUUCUAGCGUUAUUAAUAAUGUAACUCCAUCUGUGUUUUCUGAAUUUCUCAUUACCCUAAUUAUCCUAUUUUCUCGGUCCACGAAAGGUGUUAAGCGCAGGUGGACAGCAGGCGUAGUUGGUGUCUCUCGUCAAGCUCUCAAGGACACGCUCUGUUUCCAACGGGAUCCCCGUUUUCCGCGAGGGAACAAGAGGCGAGCGUCAUGUUCCCUCGAUUCUACGAGCAAUGCUGGCCACGCCGCGUUAAAGUGGCGCUAUUUGGCCACGGCAAAACGGCCACAACGUUGGAACACGAGUAUACGGUCGUGACUUCAUCGUCUGGUACCUCGAUGCCGCCUAUUGUUCUACGAAUAGACUCUCUAAGGCCUAUCUCUUCUCCUUUCGGCUUUUCUCCUUUCACCAUCGCUGAAAACACGUGUUCUCCAAUCCCCCCUCGAUUAAAAUUUCGAGAAACCAUAGUUUCGACUCGAAUCCGAGAAGAAGAGGAUAGAGUAAUUUUUUUAGAGGGAAUUUUGACGAAAUAUAACAAUCCCGUCCUUCGACGAAUCAAUAUUUUUCUUUCAUAAAAUAACGAAGAAGAAAAUUGUGCGCUCGUUGAAAACGAUUCAAUUAGAAAUAGAAAAGGAUAGAUUUAUGGAUCAUCGAUCCAAGUUGGUGGUGAGACGCGAACAACUCGUGUACUCGUAUGAAAUAUCGUGACACGCGAGCCCUGCCACCUACACGGCGAGGAAAGAAGAUCGAAUCUGAUCCGCGGUAAUUCGAUCGUGGAGAGAAAGGGGCGGGGGAAUCGGCACAGGGUGUGAAUAUCGUUCCCCGCAAACAUUUUGUCCCUCCUUCAAACUAUUUCCCUUUCCCUAGAAACGCUCUAAGAUUCCAAAUUUUUUCAUACCCCAACUCUUCUCCUCGAGCACGGGAUGGAAAAAUCCUUCCUUCCACUAUUCUUCCCACGCCUCCUCCCUUUGUCGAAGAAUCGACCCCCGACCUUUCCGGAAGCGGAGGGGAAAUUGCGCGAGUUGCAUCAGCAGAAUUGGCAGAAAACUGGGAGGGGAUUGAAUCGAGCGAGGUAGAAAUUUCAUCGCGCGAUCGAACUGCGUGGCGGCGGUGUUCGGAUUUCUGUGGCACGGGUGACCGGCAAAAACCUUCUUCGUUAAUACGACACGAUGCCUUCGGUCUCCGGGACUCGGUGACUAGUUCGAUCGGUAAUUCGAGACGGGAGAAGUGGCAAGAAGACCCGGAAGAGCGCCGCAGAAGAAAACCCUCGUAACAGGGGAUCGCGGUGAAUGGCGUACGAUCCGAUGUUAUCUCUUUGUUGGAUCGCCGACUUCGCCUCCGGCACGAACCGUUUCCAGAAAACCCCAAAUUCCCUCCGCCAUCGAUGAAAUUUUACGGGCAUUCGUACCGUGUUUCGAUCGAGACCAAUUGCAUUUCCAAGUAACCAAGUUACGUUUUUUUAUCUGGAGAAUUUAUGUGGAUUGACCAGAAGCUUUCUGGAAGAUGGUGUUGUUACUAAAUUUGGGAUCAGUCUUGAGAGAGAGACGCACACAAUCGUCGCAAUUAAAAGAGUCGAUAAAUUUUUAUCAGGGGACGAGGGAGUGAAUCUUGUUUCACCUUCCUUGACGCGUAUAUUGGAGGGUAAAAAGCUGGGUGACAAGCAGAAAACGAUACGGUAAUGAUCUUAAGAGAACGAUUUUCUCCGGGCUAUAAUUCAAGAGCAUUGAAAAACCGCCUCGACAUGUCGAUAUUCCUAAUCUCAUCGUUGAAUCCCUGACUUAUUAUUAGCAACAACACGCCGUGUACCGGUAUGCAGUGCCGUUUGCUUAUUAUAGACAGGAAAUAGACUCGAAUAAGCUCCGAUUAGCAGGGCGUUGACUCCGCAACCAAGUCCUAAAUUCGUAUCCAUCUGAGACGCACGGACUUUGAUAUUUAUUCCACUCUUAUUCGAAAGGUGAACGUAUAUCGUUUGCAAUUUUGUUUAUCGAAUUUAUAUCUGGAUAUCUCGAAAAUAUUUACAUAAAAGUGAUUAAAAGGAAUGCUGAAUAUCAUUUGGAUCUUGAGAAUAUAAAAAUGGAGGAUAGAAAACAAAGGAAUAAUUUUUUUUUUACUAUUUAUAUUUCCAUUGCACAAAACAAUUACGAAAAUCUUGAAGCCAGUGUAAAUCGUUCAUUUCCUAAAUCAGCGAACUACAUUAUUAUCUCAUUCCAAAACAUCCAGAUGAAGCUAAAAAUCGCUUCGAUUCGAGAUUAUCGAAAGCAUCGAAACGUUAAAAACGUUGCUCAAUAUCGCCCAUCAAAAGAAACGUCAAACGUCGAAAAAUAAAAAAAAAAAAAGUAAAAAUCGGCGAAGAUCGGGUGUAAAGGCCGAUGCGCACUUGGCACACAUUCCCAUGGCGAAAAAGUGACGGACGGGCGGAGAAAGGGAGAGGAGGGGUCGGAGAGACCGUGCGAAAGCGUUCCUCUCGCGGCGAACGAUCGGAAAACGAUCCACGAUCCCUUCUUCUCUCUCCCUUGGAUCGAUCCCCCGUGAUGUAAAACGCGGCGUGAGUGACGAAAAGGGACAUGCGCUUGUAAUUGUCGAGAGAGAGAGGCCGGAUAACGCGAUUUAUCGCGGCACGUAUCCUAUCCGAAUCCGAUUCGCCUCCUCGUCGAUCGUCGAUUUACGAAGCCGGCGAAGGGGCGAACCGCAACGAUAAACCGUUCGAAAGCCGUUCCUCCGUGAGAGUGGACGCGCGACGUGGAGAGUUGUACGAGGAGUCGAUGGAGAUUCGAGGUGGAAUUGUGGUGGAAGAGAGGAGGAUGGACGAGACGGGGCUCGUCCGAUCGAUCGAUUUCGCGCCAGCUGGUGGUUCGGAUUGAGAAGCAGUGGUCGAUUCUUCUUGGAGAUUUUAGGGAAUUUAGAGCCGGAUUUAUUUAACGGAAUUAUUUCCUUUCGAAAUUUCAUUCGGAUGUCGAUUACAUUGAUUUGCUAGAAGAUUGGGAAAAUUGUUGGGAGGAUUCGAUUCGGCGCGGAAGAUCGCGAAUUAUUUUAAUCGAGUGGGAUGAAAAGAGCGGAUUCUUUGUUUUGCGACAAAAAGGAUGAAAUUGGGGAACGGACGUCGAUGAAUUUUUCCUUUUAACGAUUUGAUUGAUUUGAUUUUUCACGCGAUGUCUAAUGAGACACGGCCAACUCGUGGCCAACGCGUGAUUUUUCCCGCGUAACCGCGAUCAAUCAUGCUUUGAACCGGGUAUGGAAAUUACAUCUGCGAUGUGAUUAAUGAAUCAGCCACGAUCGGAGUUAUAAUCCAGGGUCCUCCAACCGUCACGAGCACACAUUCGUGUAAUAUAUUAAGCGAAUGGAAAAUGGUAGCGGGAUAAUUGAAACCCGACGAUUUUCCAUCCUCCUGGGGAAACGAUUAACGAUUCUUUCCUCGAGUUUUCAUCGAUGACCGAUGUUUCAGCCUACACUCAGUCGAGCAGAUUUAUACAUUUGGAAUUUCUUUUUUCCUCGAACGGACAAGGUGAAAGUCAGACGUAUCGAUUUCAACGAAAUUUGAUGCGAUCCGAUGAUUGCAAUUUCCAAGAUAUCCGCUCAUUUUCGAGGAAAUUAAAUGUAAUCGAUAUUCCACGUUUUUCUUUUCACGAACUUACGCAUAAUUUUCCGCGCGAUAUUAAUAAUGCAAAUGCAAAUUGAAGCGAGCCAAUAUCGAAAUGAAGAUGGAAUACGAAUAAGAAGAUUAGAAGAGAAUUGUUCGGGAAACUUUUACGACGCAAAUAUAAUAACUUUCGAGAGAUAGUUACAAGGAACGACGUUACAUAUAUUACACUUUAUAAUUUCUUCUUUUUCUUCCACUACGCCCUACUUUCCUAACAACUUUCUCGCUUUAAUUAAUCGUGAUCGGUUGUUCGGAUUAAUAUGCAAAGCCGAUGAUGGCCGACGCUCCCGUUGCCUAAAAACGAUCUCGACGGACACCCGUUCGUCCAUUUUUCCCGCCGCUCGACAAAUCGAGCGAGCACUUGGUCCUAAUUCGAAACCGAUCCAAGUUCCGCCCGAUGCUUUUCUGUGCCUCGCCAGGUGGAAAUCUAAUUAGCAUACCGUCCGCUCUCUCGAGAUCCCUCGUAGGAUAGGGAGCUACCGUCCCACGACCGUAUGAUACACGAUGUGAAACGAAAGAAGAAGAAGAAAAAAAAAAUAAUACCAGAGUUAAAUAUUAUACCAUACGAGGAAGCAUCGAAUCACCGAGUGUAUAAUCGUUGCGAGAUCGUGUCGUUGAUUAUCGUUCUCUUAUUCCUCUUUUUCUUUUUCUUCAGAUAAGAUUACACGCGUGAUUUUUUAUUUUAUCAAUUCGUAUUACGGAAAUUUAUAUAAGUCGCGCGCUCUUAUCGAAAAUGGAGAGAGAGAGAGAGAGAGAUCGAAAAGUUUUCGAUGAUAAAUCGGAAACUCGAGUGGAUGGAGGCGCAGAGCCGGCGCGAAAAGGAAUUUGGCGAGCAUUGAUGGCAGAGACAACGGCGUGAAAGGAAGGAUGGCAGAAGGAGGAGGAGUGUAGGACGGUGGUGCGCGUUUAGGUGGCAAGUGGAAAGCUCAUGGAGGCAAGAUCGAGCGGGGCCGAUAACAGGAUCGCAGUAACCUAUUGCACCGGCGUGAUGCUGAUGUUGUUCCGCGGAUCAUAAUUUGCACUUGUGGCCACUCGUGCCGCCACUUGGGAAACGCCACGGCCGGCCGGAAUGCCGUGAGAACUUGUGAAAAAAGGAACGCGUUUCAGGAUCUCCCCGUUGGAGAACGUUUUGCCAUUUGUAAUGGAAGAAGGUAGUAGUAGGCAGACAACAAUCGAGUCGUUAGCGGUGAAUUAAGGUCGGCGUCCUCCGCGAAACGAGGAUCGCGAGGCCUCGAUUUUAAAAUUCGCUUUCGUCAUUCCUGGCGAAGAGGGUUGAUGACACCUUCGAAAAUGGAAGGAAAACGUUUGUCUCCGAUUCUUGGGAUCGGGUUAUCUUCGUUAAAUUCUUCUUAACUUUUUAGAAAUAGCGGAAUCCGAUUGCUCGGACGGAUUCAAUCGUAUUUUGCAAAUGUUUGAGGGCAAGCGAGAAAAAUUGGUUAAAAGAAGAAGAGAUGGUAAUUUUAGCAAGAGAUAUUGUCGGAGGAUUGUUGUAAGGUUUUCUUUUUCCUUUCAGAUGAUUAUGAUUAUGAACAUGUAUAACUUUUGUGCUCCGUAGCGUAAUAUUUUUGCAUUAUUACACGAUAAAUACAUAUAAGGAGAAUCGAUUUCUCUGAAAGUUCUUUAAGAUAAUUAUUUUUUCUAUUGAAAUUUUUCCUUGACAUUUAGCAUCAAUGUCGCUAGUCAAUUAUUCAACUAACAAUAACCACGAAACAAUUUUUAAGGCGGCGGAUUAUUACACGUCCUUAAUUAAUUUCCCAUUUCUAUUCAACCCAAUACUUUUUAAACAAAAGCAAGAUUAAUGCUUCAUCAAUAACGCGUUUCCCUUAUCUAAAAUUAACUACCGAUCUAUCAAAACUAUCCCUAUUAUCCGACAAUGAAUACACUUCCCUGCUAGACAAAAUUACCAACGAACUAUCAUCGACUUCUCCACUCCACUAAUACUCGACCAUCAUAUCGAAUCACCUGUAAAUACGAAAAAUAUAUGUAUAAACACUUUUCAACAAUCGCUUUUCUCUCUCUCUCUCACGCAUUCGUCGUGAGUCGCCAAUGCUAAUACCGGUAUUUGUACAACAACGAAAUAGCACGAAUAGUCGUGCUACCGGUUGAAAUUGGACCGUCGAACCCCUCUCCCCCCGUGCCACGAGGGGAUAAUCGAUAUUUCAAGCGCGUGACGCAACCGCGACGCGGGGUCCAUUUAAUCGUCAAACGCCAUUUCACGACAUUCCAGGUAAAACAAAGUAGCGAGUCGACGAGGUGGUAGUUUCGCAAUAUUCACGUGCCUCCGCUGCACCUUCGCUUCGAUUUAUCACGAGGCAGGCAGAGCUCUCUCUCUCUCUCUCUCUUUCUUAAGCAGCCGUAGCUUUUCGAGCCUCCAUCUUGGCACGGAUUCGUUUAACGGAGCUUUUGCUGCGUAUGCACGCGUUCGAAAUGCCCGCCGUAUGUAUCGUCUGAUUGUCUGGGGGAGGGGGGACUGUCCUUAUCGAGGUGUGUCGAGUCGACAGGUGGCGACGAGCACGCGUGUCCCAGCCGUGGAAAUAGAACGUGGUGGAGAGAGAGCUCGAUGGCUCGUGACGGUAUGAGGAAUAUUUUUAGUUGCUGUCUCUUGGUGUGCUGUCUUUUCGAAUCGAUCAUCUUUGAUAAAGAAUCGUUUUAAGGAUAAACGAGAUGUGUGCGUCUUGCAACGCACGUGUAUUAGUUAUGUUUAUUAUCGUGGAUGAUAUAUAUAUAUUUUUUAAAAUCGCGUUUAGAAUCACGAGUAUUUAUCCGAAACUUGGUAGAGUAAGGUGUUUUAGGAAAUUGACGAGACCAAUUAUCCUCGCGAGAGUUAUAAAUAAACAAACGUAAAAACGCGCGAAAAACAAAAAGAGAUAUUGGACGAGGAUUUUAUUAGGUCGAGGUUGACGGUCCAAUUAAAUCGGCGAAGACGGCGAGGAAAUAAAAAGAAGGCCGCCGGUUGGAAUGGGAAGGUGAGCCGAUGAAGGUGUCCGCAGGGGACGAAUAAUUGAAAUAUCGAAGGCUAAUUGAGCCAGCAACUGGCUGGAACGGUCGGGAUUAAUUCGGAUCGAAUAACGGUAGCGAGGAGGAGACGAGCGGUGGUUCGAAAGUGGUGGCCCCCGCCCGACCGACGACUCUCUUUUCGACCGAUAUUAACGAGCAUUAAUUAAUUCAUAUCGGCCCUCGCGACUCGCGAAUGACAUUUAUUUGGGCCACUAACGGAUUACGGCUCGAAGGGAGGGGGAGGAGCACCUUUAAAAGGCGACGCAACGCUGAUAACCGUUAACUCUCUCUCUGGUUUUACCAACAGCGCUUAUGCUCGAAUUAAACGCCAUGAUUUUCGAGUGGUUUUAUUCGAGCAAUUUGAAUAUUUUAUUAUAAUAAAAUUUUAAUAAUAGAGAGAUUUUACUCUUUUAACCGCUUAGUUAAAAUUAAUAGAUACCGAUUAUCUCGUUUAUUGUGAUUAUUGUGAUUUACGUUUCUUAAAUUUUCAUUACAAUUUUUAGAUACUCGUGGUGAUUUAUUUAAAAAGAGUUUAUAUUUGGAGCGCACCUCCUAUUGGCCUUGUUACGAAAAUAGCGAAUUUAUUUAAAUUUCACGGUUCUUAAUUUUGUUUAUGGUAUCUUGUUCACCGAAUCAAUUUGCAAUUCCUCCUCCUCCAUCAUCAUCAUCAUCAUUAUCAUCAAGAUUCUCUCAUCCAGAUCGUAACUCUACUAAGUCUUCGCGAUCCACUAACCCUGUUUACCAAGUUCCAAGAUUUCAGUAAGUUUCACGGUUCUUAAUUUCAUUUAUGAUAUGUCGUAUCAUAAAUAAACUUUCUAGAAAAAAAAAACCUAUUCCAAUUAAUUCUUCUUCAUCUUCUUCUAUUAACGAUUCUUCUUAUCGCGAUUUCACUGCGUUCACCCAAUUAUGCCCGUUCGAACAUAAUUCUUAUCCCAAUAAUCCAUCGAAUUUAGCCAUCGUAAUUUCGAUAUUUACAAUUCGAUCAUAAUUGAAGAUAAUUUUUCGAAAAGUUUUCGAAUUAAACCGCUGCGAGCCGCGGCAGCUUUAUAAACUGAACGUAUUAUAAACCGAGGCGUGUAUAUGCGCACAAAUAUCCAGUCUCUCUCUCUCUCUCUCUCCCUUUGCACGUACACGCGCGUGCAUCCCGGGCCAAGCGAGGAUAGUCCAUACCUAGAAUGAGUUAUAUCGCAUUGAAUAUCAGCCGAUAGGAUCUCACUCGCGGCUGCCUCCUCUUCCUGGCCGGCUCUCAAAGCGGCCGCGCGCGAGCCAUACCCUUUUACAAUAUUACAUCGUUCCACGAGUCCACUCCAAUUCGUGCCUCCGAAGAGUCAUUGCGCUACUUUGUUUCCACUGUCCAAGCUGUUUCCACGCUUUCGCGUUACGGAACACGCUCCGGUAAUGGCGGGAGGAGAUUCGUUUAUGGAAGAGGGAAGGUGCUAGGGAGAGGAUGUUUUGGAAUGUGGAAUAUGGAAUUUGGAAAAGUGGAGUAGAAUGGGACGUUAAGACGUCGAGACGUGUGUAAUUUGGAUUUGUAUUUGGCGAGGGGGGAAGAUUGGAAGUGGAGAUAGAGAAUGAUUCUCGAAUUGGUCGGGAAACUAGGGGAAGAUCAGUUUCUUUCUGCAGAAUAGAAUUCUUACAAUGAAUCGUAGAAUUAAGAUCCACGUUAGGAUGAUACAAUAAUUCAUACGGUUUUAGGAAUCCCUAGAUGUUAAAUAGGGUUCCCUAGAAGGGAAAUUCUUGGAAGAAUUCUUGUACAAUUCUCAAUAACGGGAUGAUAGAGUUCUAUUAAACCAUCUACUCCCACCUCUCGCUGAUUUUAUACUUCUUUUUAAAAAAAAACUCAAACCGGAGGCAAGCUCGCACGAAGAACGCGAUAAUCGUUGGUUUAAAGAAACGACGCACUACAAACUUCUCUGAAACUUCAAGGAAGAAAGAAAGAAAGAAGGAAACAAGAUUCUCAAAAGGAAGUACGAGGAGGGGGUUUUAUCUUCGACUUCCUCCCUCCUCCUCCCCUCCGUUUACGUUUUUCCAUACGAAAUGUUGGACGUGUCGUGUCACGGCAGCGUGGCUCGACUAAUUUCUUUAACGAGCCCUCACCUUUUUUACCGUCGUCCUCCGUCAUCCGCGAUGUCGCACCGCGGUCUUAACCUGGAAUGCGAAGGAUCGCGCGACCGAUCGAGCCGAGCGGAUCUCGAAUAGCUUUCGUCAAGGUUGAUUCGGGCGACAAGGCUGAGUCACGGCCCGAUCCAGGACUACAUUCCACCACUCGGCACUGAGAUAGCCGAGAUUUCGCGAAAAAACCGCGCCCGGAUUCGCGCGAAUUCUUCGCGAGUUUUUUCUCUCUCUCUCUCUUUCUUCUUCUUUUAAUCGUAAUAUCGAGCGAUACCGGUGGAUCUUUUCGAUUCUGGAAGGUAGCAUCAGCAAGCACGGAGGGAGUGUUUGAGAGCGUUUCUUUUCUUUUUUCGAGAGGAGCGAGAUUUAUUAUUCACGAUUCGAUCACGAAUGGUAAAUGAGAGUUCGAAUCGAUCGUUUAACUGGUUUAACAAAUACCAGUUAAAGACGAAGUGACGAGUUGUUCAAAGAAGGAACAGAUACAAACAGUGAUAUAAUACCGCGUGUCUACAUAAACUUAUACCACGAACUUUUCAUGAAUGACUCAACCGAUCCACGUAACGCUGCUUUAUAGUAUAUACUCGAGUGUUACAUCACGGAGAAUCGAGCAGGAAGGUCGAUCCACAUCGUCUCCUCGAGUAAACGCGUUCAACUGAAGGAAUUCGAACGAGCCUCUCUAUUAUUAUUCAAAAAAUUGUAAAAUUUUAAAGCUCCUUGUGUACAAGUAAAGUUUAAUUUCGCGCGAUCCGCGUGAUUGAUAUUUGAGAGUUUCGCUUUGCAUACUCGAAAAUCUAAAAAAAAGAAAAAAGAAGACACAAGGAGACACCUCAAAGAAAAUCUAUACCCCGUUCGAUAAAUCUAUAAAUCUCAAAAAAAAAAAAUAUCCUUGCUGAAAGGUAGAAAACGAAAGAAAGGAUUGCUACAGUGUUUGCCUUGGAAAGGUCACGGGGAGGUGGCUUUGAAAGGUCGUGUCGGUUUCACCGGUCGCUUCUUCGGACGACGAAAGAAAAAGAAGAAAAAGAAGAAGAAGCGAGCGAGCGAAGGAGGAGGAGCACGUUAACGAUCAACACGCGACGAGGAGGACAGACCUAGCCGGUGAAAGCGAAUCUCCCAUUAAUGUUCUUCUCUCCGGCUUCAACAUUUCAGUGUGUAUAUGCAUAUUUAAGUGCAGUGCCCCGAGGACUUCCGGUCAGCGAAUAAUAUACCAAGGGAAAGAAAGGAAGAGAGAGAGAGAGAGAAGAGAGUUUGAAGAAGUUGAUGAUGGACUUUUGCUUCGUGACGCGGUCAUUAGGCUAUAUUGUAACCCCUCCUGCUCUUUUCUACACGCCCCCUCGAUCCUGGCAAUUAGACACGGGGAGAAUUUGCAACUUUCCUUCGAUGCUUGGAAAAAUUGUGCCCUCUCUGAUCCGCGUGUGAGAGACUCGUGGAGAGAUAUUUAACAAGAUUUAAGGGGAAGGAGAGUGGAAAUGGUAUUUAACUUCUACGUGAUGGAACGAGAGGUGGAAACGUUUAUUCGUAUAAACGAUGAUUUUUGGAAUUGGAAUUUUUACCAAGUCGUGUAUCGAGUCAAGGGAUAAGUAUAAAUUUGAUGAAAGACUUGUUUAGAUUUUGGUGGAAAAUUCCGAAUAAAGCCAGCGAAGAAAUUUAUCAGAAUAUCCUUAACUCUUGUACCAGAUCUGUAUCUUCGAUUCGUCCAAAUAUCUUAACAUCGAGCACGUGAAUAAAUCGAAAGGGCAAGCAAGAGAGAUAGAAAUGAAUCGUUGUGCAAGUAAAUAAGUUAAGUUGAAUUUCGCAAAGUGGAAAAUUCACUUUUCGAAUACGAGUUAUGCAACACUUUAUUACACCAUGUAAUCCCCGUUAUCGCUCGCUGUUUGUAAACAGGAUCUGGAAUUAGGUGGAGCGGCAUAACCGAGAUACGUAGGAUCCGUUGGAGAUUCUGUUGAACGAUGAGGCGGCCGCGGCUUGUAAUCGUGAUCCUUCGAGCUGCCUCUUAUCUCCAUAACUGUACUCUCAUUCGAGGUAAGCCCGUCGUCACCUCGCCAUUCGAUCAUCGGCGAUCUACGAAAUUUCUCGAAGUGUAUCCAAGGAUUCGAGACGAAUUUAUAAGAGAGAGAGAGAGGUAUGGUGGGUUCGAAUAGACCCUGACCACAUUACGCGAAACACGAAACGAAAUUUAUUAUGCAUUCAGUGAAAAUAUUCUAGGCGAGGAAAAUGCAUUAAAUAUCUAGGUUUAUAGUCUGGUACGCGUUUAUGCUGUGUCUUUUUUAUCUCGUUAAUACCUGAUUUAUUCGCCUUGUUAUUUGCUUAUUAAAUUUAUUUGGAAUAGUUGAAGUGUGUCUAAUUUUAGAAAAUAAUCACCCGGUAUUUAGAGAAGAUUAGAUUUUUCUUAAUGAAAAAUUCGAAAUAAAUAAAAGAAGGUGUAAUAUUGGGAUAGAUAUUAUUGAAGAGAAACGUAAAACGUUUCUCUUCGAAUGAUUUCUUAAUUACGAAGAAAAAAGGGCGAUAGCGAUAGCGAUUAUGCUUAAUUUCAACAAUUUCAGGAAUAUUUCGUGAGUUGUUUCUACAAAAGAACGCAAAGAGGAAAGACGAAAGAAAACGAAAGAAAGAAAUUAGAAAGUCGACUCGUCAUUUUCUGGGCCGAAUGAUCGUCGAAUUGUUAACGAAUGCGCAAAAAGAUCGAGAGAGACUUUUAAAUCUCUAACUGCGAUGAAAUUCUGGAACAGCGACGAUCAGGUUAAUCGAACAUUAAUCGUUGCGAUUCUAUGGCGCCUGGCACGUAUCCUAACGGGAGAAUCACUAAUAGUCGUUGCGGUAAGCAAUCACAGACCGCCGUGGACAGGUACAGUUAUACAGAUAAGACCACCUCGAGAGAUGAUAGUAGCAUGUUUGUAUCUUUUUAUGAUUCGAUUCGUUUUUUCCCUAAUCGAAACCUUUCCUUUUUUUUGUUUUAAGAAUUGUUUACAAUCAUCGAUACAAUUUCGUAAUAAAUACUCUUCUCAGAAUUCAGGAAUCCGAAGAGAAAUAUCUUAUCGAUUGACCGAAUUCUUGUACAAUUCGUAAUACACGAUCGUUUAGUGUGGAAUGGAAAAAUUUGAAAUUCAAAUUUAAACGACAAUUUGAAGGAAAAGAGGAAUCGAGAUUUGAUUCCAAAAUUUCAAAUUCCACGAACAUAAAGGGAUCUCUUCUAUGGCCAAACAAAAGUAUCCCCUAAUAGUAUCGUCAAAAGCCAUGAAACCCUGCAGAGAGACGCGACGAUCUCUUCGAGUGGCAGCUGGUACUCGAGAUCACCUGGUGGACAGAGUGGAGGACACAUUACGCCAGAUGAGUCAUUCGCUCGGGACGAAGAAGGAGAGGGGGAGGGAGGUUGGGCGAUCGAGAAGGGUUGAUUCGCAGGUGGUUUCCUCGCGUGGACCGGUGGACGGGGCACACGAUGCUUCCGAUGGACGCUCGGUGCCGUUGGUGGUGACGUGGUGGUGCUGGUGGUGGUGUUACGGUAGGUUAUGCCUCGCAUUCCACUCGAGGUCGACGAACCGAGACGAACGGCUGCAUGCGCGCCUCUCGGCUCCUGGCCACAGUCCGGCCUGCCUUGCCCUUUCCUUUCCUUUCCCUUCCUCUCUUUUCCCUUUCUUUUCGUCCUUUCCGAGGACAUCUCUCCUCUCCGAUCGCGAAUCCUCUUUUCUCGAAAGAGAUUCCCGAAUUAUCAUUUACGAUACGUGUGUCCAAUCAUCCUCUCUCGUCGGUGAAUCGUGAAAAUUAAAGUGUAAUCGUGUGCAUCCGUACGAUCAAUAAGUUGCGGAUGUUUAUGCAAAUUUAAAUUUUUAUGGAUAUAAUUACGGAAUAAGAUAUGUUUCAUCCUUGAAAUAUUAUGGUAUGUGUAUACUUUGCAUCGUAUUAUUUCAUGUCUUUUUUUAGAAUCUGUGCAUUUUAUAGAAUAUCCUUUUAUAGGAUGAGAAAAAAUUAAACGUGGAAUUUUAUCGAUCUAAAAUUAAGUUUAAUCUAAAAUCGAGAUUUACGAAAACAGGCUUGUUAUGUUUGAUCCUAUUACAAGUUUUCGUAAAAGCAAAUUUUCAAUACUAAAAUACGAUUCAACGAUUUGACUUUAAAAUCAUAAAUUCUCUCGGAUAGAAAGUGGAGCAUGGAAAAAAAAGAUGUCUAUGUCUAACAAAGACAAUCAAACAAAAAUCUAGAUCAUUUCUCCUAAUUACUCCUCAAUCACGAUUUGUCCACACCGUCCACGUCCAUGUUUCUCGAAUUACACGCGCAAAAAAAUAACCACUCUCAUCAAGAAAGUCGCCUCGCGCUUUCCCGCUUUUUGCGGCCAGGAAAAUCUGGAUUCUUCCAGUUGAGCUAGUUUUUUUCCGCCACCGUCAUUAUCUCGGAUUAAUUCCGUGGCCUUUCACCGUCAAACUUUUCCCUCUUCUUAUUCGCUUCUUAUCGACGCCUUUGCUCGAACGACAGGGAGAGAAAGUCGAUCCUCCUUCCAAUUAUCGUAAUAGCGCACAACGAUCACGAGAAAUACCACGCGAUCCAUCCAAAUCUUUCAAACCAACGAUUCUUAACCUUUUAUUCACUACUCUCUUUAUAAAUACAUUUUUCACGAUCGCGUUCUUUCAAGACUUGAUUCGAAAUUUAAAUGCGUAAUGCGCAUCAAAUAUUUAUAUUUAAUAUUGUUAUUGUUGUAUAUUGUUCGUUGACGAACAAGACUUCAAAUUUGGAAAAAAGAGAUUUAUCGUAAGAAAGCAAGAAACGUCACAUACCUGAGAUUUUGCGGUCUAGAAGUCUACCAUAAGAGAGGUUAGAUAUCCACCACAACCGUUGUUUCAAACGAUUUCUUUUGUCACGUUUCACGAAACAAAUUUCCAUCGACAGUUUCGAAUAUUUCCUCGUGGUUUUCCACAAGUGUCGCAACGUGUUCGCAAAUUUCUCCACUUUUUCGAGGUGAAAACACCACGUUCGUGCAAUUUCGACAAUCAUUUUCACCAUAUUUGACCAUGUUGCGCCACCUGGCAAAAUUAUGUACAAUUAACCUGAAUAAUCGGUGCAAUUAGUCUAGCACAGCUAACCUCUCGUUUCGUAGAUGUUCGAUCGUGUUUCGUGUUAGAAACUCUACGAACGAAUAGAGUUAAUAAGCUCAAUUCUAAAUAUAACUGAUAAUCGAACAAGUGAACUAGAGAUUGAUAAUCCGUUUGAUCGUGGACAAAGAAGUCAUGUGUGAUAUCGACGACUCGAAUUUUGUUAAAUAAUAGAUUAAAAAGAGACGAGCAAGAAUCAUAGGUUAUCCGCGAGAAACGUUAACUCGAGGUUUUAUAGUUCGUGAUUGUUGCAAUAUUUCGGAUUAAAUAAAGAGUAAUAAUUGCAUUGAAUUUUGAAAUUGACCGUAAGUGAAAUUUGAUUUUAAAUUGUUUUUUGGAACAUUAGAAAAUGGACAUUUGGAAGUAAUUUACGACGUAUUAAUUUUUUUAAAUUUGUUGGCUUUAUUUUCACAUUCAGAAUCAAAAUUUAUUCUUGGUUAGAAUUCGAAAACUGAUUCUGAAUUUAAUUUUGUCAUUAUUAAAUGUUUAUUCGCGAAUUAAUAUAUUCUAUUUAUUAAAAAUUAUUUUUCUCAUUGGAAAUAGAGGUUUGUUCGUAUUUCUAUUUAAAAAAAAAUUUGAUUACGAAUCUUGAAAGCUAACAUUUUUAAAAUUAACAUAAAUAAAGUAAUAAAGUAAUAUAAAUUUUUUAAAAUUAAGAAUUAAUGAACAUUAAACGGGUAAUAUUAGAGCUUAUCUUAUUUUAUUAUUCCUUUUGAUGUAAAAACAAGAUUUUUUUUCAUAAAUUAAAGAUAAUUGAUAAUUUUACUGAAUACGUUGAGAAUAAAGAAAGAUGAACAGGUGCAUAGCGUUGGAGAAAAACUGGAUACGCGACUUCAUUAGUACAAGCCGUGAACACUUUCGCCGACACAUGAAGAACGGCUUGACGGUUGUCGAUAAUCUGCGAAGACGACUUGCAAGAAAAUGCAUGUCGGGAUUGUGACUAAUAGAAAAAUGUAGAGAGUUUGCAGGGAAUAAUAAAAGCGUUUCGAAGAGAAAUUCCACGAAACGUGGCUGAAAGUCUGUCUACUGUCUAUUGCUCGCGUGGCCGAUAAUCAUUUCUAGAAAGUAAUUGCAUCAGAAUACUUUUAACAAUUAAUAAACAGCUUUAAAAAUCUAUUAUGAAAAAAAAAGGUAACUGUAUGAAUCUCUUCACGAUAACAUUUUACAAAAUCCGAAAUAUAAUUUUUAAUUUAACACUAUGGCGAUUGAGGACACUUUGUUCGAAUAUUUGACGUAUUUUUUUAAUUACUGAUGUGAAUCUUCAUAGUGUUAAUUUUUCUAUCUCUAUCUAAAAUAUCCGAAUCUCGAUAUACUAUGUAAUUCUUACACAUUCACCUAGAUUCCAAGUUAUCACGAUCGAGGAUGAUUACGAGAAGGCUGAUCCGAGGUCCAACUUGGCUUGCUUGCACGAUCCUGUAAUUAUCGCGUGGCUAUUAUUGCUCUUAAUUAGCUUAAUUGAGGUCCUGUGGCUGGAACCGUUCUAAGGCCGAGUGGCACGCGGUUCAGCCGCUGCUUUCGACUUUCACGAUUGCACCCUUUUGUCGGCGUCUGCUGCCCUCGGCGCAAUUAAUUGAAUAGGCCGAAGGAACGAUAAAAGGAAAUGCCAUUCCCUUUCCCGAUGAUCAACAAACCAGUAUCUAAUGGAGUGCCACAGCCUCCAACUUUUGCUCACGAUAAAUAACUAAUUCAUCGCGAUUUCUGUCCUCUCUGUCUCUCACUUCGAUCCGUUCAACAGACAUUGUUACGCAUUAUUAUCUCGUGUUUCUUUCUCGUAAAUACGAAUCGAUGUAAGAAAGUUAUUUUUAAUUUUAUUAAAAUUGAAAUUCAAUAGUUGAAGAUUUAUCGCAUUAUAUAUAACUAAUAAUUUAUUCCAUUUUUGUUUCAGAAAUUCAUAAGAAAAUAUACGGAUAAUUAUCAAAAUAUUUUCGAUAUUUUUUCAUCGAUCAGCCAUCAAAUCUAGAAAUUGUAUCACUCUAUAACUUGAAUCCUCCGUGUGCAAAACUACUCUACAGUUCAUAGUAUAAAAUUCCAUACGAAGGAAAAGUGGUAAACCAUGGAAAUCGGCAUCCCAUCCCGCGUUUCCUCUCUCGAUGAAACAAUAUAACAAAUGUUGGAUGAUAAAUGUUGGAAGGAUCUCGAGGACGAGGAGGAGGAAGCCUCGAUACGACGAUUCGUUUCCGUUUCCAUUUUGCCGCGUUGAGGCCCGGGGCGGAAUGUCGAAUUACGGUAGAUUACGAUCGCCGGCUCGCCGCUUCCAAGCCUUCCAAGCCGCGCAUUUCACGCGCUGUUGCUUGUAAUGAGGCUUUUAUUUAUUGGUUAACAAUUUAUUAGACGAUAAAUAAGCGCGCAUCCCCCCACGGGAAGAUAGAAUUCUUGGCCGUGGCGGAAAAGGGAGCCGCGAGCGUCGCCUCCACUUUGAAAUAAUUCAUCGAUGAGUGAAUAAUCGUCCACGCGUAACACGGUCUGUGGAAACUAUUGUGGAAGAUGCGCCGUAAGUUGAAGUGCGAACGUGUUGCUUCAGGGCCUCUUGAACUUGUUUUUAACGCACAGACCAUUUUCUUAAUAAUCGAAAAAUGUAUUACUGUAUUCGUGUAACGUAUAAUGAAUCGUUAUAUAAUGACGCGUAUCCUCAAUGUUGAUCGAGUAUAGAAUGUGAUACGAAGAUAUCAAAGAUACGUAUCUGACGAUUUCAAAGUGGACGUGGCAUCUCGAGAAACUAGUUUCGAUCUCAGAUAAAAUGAGUGGACGUGUACAACUCGAUAUUAAAUAAUAAUAAUUGAUCGAUAGCGGUUUUUUGCGAUUUCGUUAUAUUAUUUUAAAAUAAUUAUCCCACUCGUUGAUGAUCGAUGAUAUUUCAUUAAAAAAAAUACAUAGAUACGAAUCUAUGUACAUAUAAAAUAGCAUUUGUUUUAUUUAUUAUACGAUACAGACAGAAAAUAAUUACUUGCUUCAGUCUCCAGUUACAAUUUACAUCUUUGCUCACUCAUCUUUAUCUUCGCAAAUCGAGAAUCUUCGAUAAUUGGACGAUUCAAUCUCAGCCUUGUUGGCACAAUUCCCUCAUCGGGAUUGUACGUAAUAAAAUUUGGAUAGGAACGGAGCGGCUGGAUUCGUUUCUGCAUUGGAAAAGAGGACGAGGAGAGGAGGCAGGAGGCCACGGAGAGACGGGUGUUGCACGUGCUCGUUUUCAAUCAAUGGCACCCUCGUGUAAGAGCACUCGACAUUCUCCUCGCACGUGCCGAUGGCAGUAACCUCGAAGACAAUGACAUGCCGGCGACGUGCGCGUCGCCGCAUGUAAAUGUAACCUUUUGUGUGCCCCGGGUGGAAGACGACGCCGGAGGAGAGAAUCCUCCGCGCGGCUAGUGAAAGGCGCGCUAUACGUGUCUCUCGAUUCCGCCGCACCACCUUGCUCCCCGCUUCUUCUCCGGGGAGGGGGGGAUUAGGAAAUGUCAGCUGAUCCCAUCGCGCGAAAACGUUGUUCCCGCCAAGGCGUAUCCUCCUCCUCCUCCUCGCGAGAUUCUAAUUCGUGUUGAAACGUUUCCUCAGUUUCUUUCGAAGGGGAAUUUCGUUUAUUUUCAUAAAAGCUUCGACCGAAGAAGAGAAUAAUAUAUUGUACGUUAAAUAGUUGUUCUUUAUUACAACGAAGAAACGAAAUAUUUUUCCAAUAUCGUUCAAACAUAAAUAUAUCUCUGCUGGAGAAUCAAUAAAUCAAGAGGAUAUACAACUCGGGAGAAUUCUCUGGGCUCGUAACUCGCAAGGCUAGCUCCUAUUAACCAAAAGCAUUAAAUUCUCGAGCGUUUUCGCAAUAUGAUUUCGGGAUAAAAUGGCUCGCCUCGUUAACCCGGAACUAUUAAUCGACUUAACCGGCCAAUAACCGGCGUCGGUCGUUAAUUUAUCGGCGAGAGCAGUGGGUAUUCGCGGAUUAAAGGUGCACUCGGGUGGACGAGCGCGUGGAAGCGAGCGAGAGAGAGAGAAAGAGAGAGGAAAGAGUAGGAGAGUUCUCGAGUGCCGCUAUAUCUCGGCGCCACGCGUAAUUGGGAUUAAUUAAAUGGAAAGCGCGAAUUAAAUUAACGAUCCGGAGGCGAGUAGAAUCCGCGUUGCAUAAGGGAUCGAUGCCGGUGUGGAAAGGGGAUCCUGUGGACAGGAUCUGAACCGUGAAGAAUAUAUCGACGCGGCAUGCUUUCUUCGCCUCUUCAUUAUCGGGAUACGAGGAAAAUGGAUGUAGAAUAAUCGCGUUAUUACGUUUUUUUGAUUAAUCGUUGCGUGGCCAUUCUUGAUAUAGUUUAAAAUUAGAAGUUCGUCCGUUGAUCGUCUGUUGAAAUAAUUUCGAGAUUAACUUUUGGGGAAUAAUUGGAUAGAGCGUCUGAGAAGAUUGGAAAAAGGAAUAACGAAGGAGAGAUUUAGGUGGAAUUUAAUGG